UACGGAGGGUGCGAGCGUUGUCCGGAAUCAUUGGGCGUAAAGGGCGCGUAGGUGGCUUCUUAAGCGUGCGGUGAAAGCCUGGGGCUCAACCCCGGGUCGGCCGUGCGAACUGUUUUGCUUGAGCACUGUAGAGGCAGGCGGAAUUCCGGGUGUAGCGGUGGAAUGCGUAGAGAUCCGGAAGAACACCGGUGGCGAAGGCGGCCUGCUGGGCAGUAGCUGACACUGAGGCGCGACAGCGUGGGGAGCAAACAGG
rnacentral:rRNA from 1 species